rnacentral:rRNA from 1 species
GGCUGUCGUCAGCUCGUGUUGUGAAAUGUUGGGUUAAGUCCCGCAACGAGCGCAACCCUUAUCCUUUGUUGCCAGCGAUUAGGUCGGGAACUCAAAGGAGACUGCCAGUGAUAAACUGGAGGAAGGUGGGGAUGACGUCAAGUCAUCAUGGCCCUUACGACCAGGGCUACACACGUGCUACAAUGGCGCAUACAAAGAGAAGCGACCUCGCGAGAGCAAGCGGACCUCAUAAAGUGCGUCGUAGUCCGGAUUGGAGUCUGCAACUCGACUCCAUGAAGUCGGAAUCGCUAGUAAUCGUGGAUCAGAAUGCCACGGUGAAUACGUUCCCGGGCCUUGUACACACCGCCCGUCACACCAUGGGAGUGGGUUGCAAAAGAAGUAGGUAGCUUAACCUUCGGGAGGGCGCUUACCACUUUGUGAUUCAUGACUGGGGUGAAGUCGUAACAAGGUAACCGUAGGGGAACCUGCGGUUGGAUCACCUCCUUACCUUAAAGAAGC